UUAGCUAUUUUAGAUAGGUUUGUAUUCAUAACAUUAUGGGUACAGACAACAAACGUUUGUAUCUAUAAUGGCUAGGGAAAUUUAAGAUGACUUUCAGCCAUGUAGA
rfam:Sphingobacterium faecium PCAi_F2.5 genome assembly, contig: Scaffold4